GCUCACUGCUGCCUCAAACUCCUAGACUCAAGCAAUCCUCCUGCUUCAGCCUCCCGAGUAGCUGGGACUACAGGUAGAUGAUGGGCUCCACGGGAACAGAGCAAACGUUCGCUCCUGCUCCUACACGGUGUUUCCUCUAAACCUGAGGCUCAGCCGACUUGUCAUCACUUAAAACCCAAUUCAGAGCGGGGGGGCACUGCCAGUGAAUAGUUCAUCACCGACUCAGUUUCCCCAUGUGUAUGCUGUGGUAUUGGAUCAGCAACGAGAUAAGAAGAUCUCUCCCAUUUCCAAGCGUCUAUGAUGAUUCUGAGGCACAAGGUCACAUUUGACAGUACUAGGAAACCCAGGAAACAAGAAGCAAAGAUGACAAAGGCUGUGUCUGCCUGGGCAGACGAUCUAUUUGGACAAGAUAAUAGACCCAGGCAUGGACAUGCUCUCCAAGAAAGAUGCCCUGACAGCUGCUCACACUGAAGCUGAAUCGAACAUUCCAAUCCUUAGAGGUUCCAGCGAAGAUCUUGAAGUCUCCCUGAGCCAUUGACACAAUGGCCAUGCCAUCCCAGUGAUAAAACACAAAUUGUGGCCUUGUUUUGGACAGAAAUAAAGAGCCCAGUUUGUUAGUGAUUUACUGAU
rnacentral:lncRNA from 1 species